rnacentral:lncRNA from 1 species
UUAUGGCCGCUGGGGAGUUGGGAGAGCCAGGCUGGGGCUCCGGCAGGCCCAGGCAAAUUUCCCUUUCUAGGCUCUUUAUUAAAAAAUUUAAAAGGAGGAGUUGAGGCGCCUUGAAUUUUCCUUCGCGAGUUUGGAGGCUAGCCGAUUUUUCAUGAAGCAAGCAAAGACCGCGGUCCCGGAUCCUGCAACAUCUACCUCAUUCUCUCCAGGCCUCUCCACUUGCCCGAGCUCUCAGCCACCAGGAGACAGACAGAAGGGGCUUCUGGGCUGCGUUGGGAGCGGGCACUGUCCCCUACCCACUCCUGCUCGGUUUCCCAAAGUCCAGCGACCUCCGACCCUCCUUGGGGGGAAAAAUACCAGUACCCAGACACCUCCGCACCCUGUUAUAUGACUGGGCUUGCUUCAGGAAUAUCUUACAAAGAAGAAGAAGAAGAAGAAAGAACGGCUUGGAGUCAUGUUUACAUCUAGUUCUACUGAUCCGUUCACAUCUGGAGAGUUUAUUUAUAACUCCCUCUAUAACUCUCUGUUUGGAGGCACUGGUGGCUCUAUUGACAGACUGAUGUCUAGGAAAUAUUGCUCUAUGUCUAACCGUACCUAAAUGUGCUGUGGUUGUAUUUACAGAUUUAUGUUUGAGGGAAAUAUAAUUAUUUCCAUUGUAUUUGUGCAUAUACAGUAGUUAUAGGAGCAGAUUUAUAUAUGGGAAAAUAUAUGACUCUCUUACAGCCAUCCGGCUUUAUGUACAUUUGAUAUCCUGACAGAUUUAUAUCUCUGAACAGCUAUAUAGAUAAAAAUGUAUAUUGUUAGAAUUAUGUAUCAGGAGAUAUAUACUUAUUGAUUGUGAAAUAGAGUAGUUAGAGCAUUCACUUAGAGCCAUAUAUGGCUAUGGAGAUAUUUCUAUAUUAUUAUCACUAUAUAUAGGCAUAUCUAUUUAUAACUACAUAGUUAUAAAAAUAGACAUAAAUAAUUAUAGUCCUAUAUGUGCAUGCUGCAAUCUCUCUCUAGAGUUAUAGACACUUUCAAAUAUAACUCUAUAGAGAGAUCUGUAUGUAUAUAAGGUGUAAUUAUCUUGUGAUGUGUUUACGUUGGGACUUAGGCCCGUCUAUCUAGAACAGACAUAUUUAUAUGUAAGGGCUGGGAGAGACUUGUUCACAGAUAUCUGCAGAGGGCCAACUGGAAACACUGUAUCUGCCCUCUAGGAAACCAGCUAGGAGAGUUGUGUACUUAUGGAGGGAUGGAGUUACAAAAG